AGAGUUUGAUUAUGGCUCACGAUGAACGCUAGCUACAGGCUUAACACAUGCAAGUCGAGGGGCAGCAUAAACUUAGCUUGCUAAGUUGAUGGCGACCGGCGCACGGGUGAGUAACGCGUAUCCAACCUUCCCCUUAGUAGGGGAUAGCCCGGUGAAAAUCGGAUUAAUACCCUAUGUUCUUCGAAGAGGGCAUCUGAAUUGAAGCAAAGGUUUACCGCUAAGGGAUGGGGAUGCGUCUGAUUAGGUUGCAGGCGGGGUAACGGCCCACCUGGCCAACGAUCAGUAGGGGUUCUGAGAGGAAGGUCCCCCACAUUGGAACUGAGACACGGUCCAAACUCCUACGGGAGGCAGCAGUGAGGAAUAUUGGUCAAUGGGCGAGAGCCUGAACCAGCCAAGUAGCGUGCAGGACGACGGCCCUAUGGGUUGUAAACUGCUUUUAUGCGGGGAUAAAUUCGCCUACGUGUAGGUGUUUGCAGGUACCGUAUGAAUAAGGACCGGCUAAUUCCGUGCCAGCCGCCGC
rnacentral:rRNA from 1 species